rnacentral:siRNA from 1 species
UACAUCAGUGUAGCGCGCGUGCGG